UUGAUCUUUGAGACCUUCUUGAGUAACCUUGUGAUUUUUGUGUUUCCUAAGGACACUUGGUGGAGUUUGGAACUCACCUUUUGCUGGAUCUUAAGGACUUGUGUAUGUGGAAUCCUUCUCCUGGAAGCUCUCACCUGGAAGCCAACAAUCCUCCGUCCUGCCACUCUCUCUCCCUUGGACCUGGAACACAAACGGACUCCGAAACCUGAAACACUUACCUCCUGGAUUUCCUUUGCCUCCUCCUCCGAGCUUACCUCCCUCCCAAGAGCCUGACAAAUCAACUUCCAUCAUUCACUGUAAAUAAACAUCACUUUAAUUUUU